UGCAAGAUCUUAUCAGGAAUAUAGUACACAUACACAUGUAACCCACACCAAUAAAUAAAUAUGGAGAGAUGGCAGAGUGGUUAAU
rnacentral:tRNA from 1 species